rnacentral:snRNA from 1 species
CACGGAAUCGAGAGCUCCA